AAAAUUUUCACUUAGAUUUGACACUUCGAAAAUAAAUUAAGAUGUUCGAAAAUCCCUCUGUUGUUGAUCGGCCGAUUUUCGAGAAAGCGUCUGUCAAAAUUUAUUCCUUGUCUGUCAGAAAUAAGUCUGCUGGAAUAGCAGGUUUAUUUGAAAAUUUUCCAUCUGUCAAAUUUAAGUAAAAAAUCACCAAAUGGAACACAGCCUAAGUCCGACUACUGGCGAAGAAUUCGAUCAGUGUAUACCGCUGACAGCAAAGCUGUGCAAGAAUUAAAAGUGCUGAAGGACGAAAACUGUUUUGGAAAGACUCCAUUAUCGUUCCAGCCCUCUCGUCGAGCUUCACACGCUGUGUGACACGCUAUGUUGACAAUCAAGAAUAGGAAUUCUUGUCGUCGUCUUUAUCCAUAGUUCAACAAAGCUUUACUUCAAGCAACGUUGGCAAGCAAACGAGCCCAAGUACCACAAUCUCCAAAAUUCAAUUGCACCAUGUUUGCAACCUUAGGACCUUCAUGGAACCGAAUGAAGAUGACCGGUUUUGAAACGGUGAAGAACUGCUGGUAAGGCCGGUUACAACGCCAAAAAAUAUGAACCUGAAUCCGAUCACUCGCUAGCGCCAUUCGGUUUGCACCAUAACGGUCAAUUUUUUCCGUAUUUUGGACCCUAGGAGGCUAACUAUAAAUACACUCCGAACUUGAAUGAAACUGGCGCGGAUCGAUAUCAGAACGAUUGAACAGUUUAGGAAGCGUGAGACUACAGUUUUGAAAUCACCAUAGGCCAAGAGAUUGUUUGCCCUGUUGAUGGAUGUGCAGAGUAGAUUUUGCUUGAAGAUUCGGCUGUCCUGUCAAUAUCAAUCUUAUGGAAACGACCAACACGAGGAAUCACUGGAUAGCAGCUGAUCCAAGUUGCCACAUCUGUAACAAUGCCCACGGAAACCACACAGAUAACAUUUUGGAUACCCACUAUUGCACUUAUUUAUCGGUUCAAACUUUCUGCAUAUCAUUAUUAAUUAAUCCAGUUUAUGUUAUAUGAUUUAUUGUGAUGAAUAAUAAUUGACAAUAAAUUUUCUCCUGUAACAUUAUUAUUAUGUUUAAAAUUAAUAACAUUGGAAAUAUCACUGACCAGCACAUAAAAAUACUAUUCAUGGAAUAAAUCCCCUUUAUGCAUCAUUUGAAUAUUCGCAGUUUAUACAUUUGACUCUAGAUUUGACUGCAUAAAGCAUUUUUAUACUAAGUCAGUUUUCUCUCCCUUUAUUCCAAUCUAUGCGUCGGUCAGGAGAGUUGCGAUUUAGCGUAACUUUUAUUCUAUUUAGAUUUGAAAAUCUUUUGAGUGCACGGUUAGAAAAAAAAAGACCCAAAAGUAAGUUAUUUUCACUUAUCUCGGCACUACAUGGUGUUUUGCGAAAACCCAUUAAUGGGUAUAAAAAUACCCAUUUCCGCUAAAAGUGCCCCUCCUCAUUUAAUGGGUAAACUAUGGUUUUCUCAUGAAUGGGUGGUCUGUCAAUAAAUGGAUAUUUUUUCACCCAUUUUCUUAAAUUGUGUUUACCGUAAAAUGGGUGAAAAAAUACCCAUUUUACAAAUGGAGAAUGCAAGCGCUUGGUUAUUUGUCCUUGUGAUAUAGAAAACUUUCUCAUACAUUGAAAAUUAAUGCAGGUGUUCCGCUCAAAUUUACACGAAAUAUUAUAAUACCAUAUUGGAUUAUUUGUAUUGACUAUCCGUAAGCCGAGCUGUAAGUCUCUCCAACGUUUCGGAUUCUAACAUUUUCCGGAGAUCGUCUAUUGCAAUCGCUAAAUAUGCUGCGGACAGUAACUGUUUGCAUUCCCAAUGAAUCGGUGACGGAAAUGAGACGAUGAAAUUUCGAAGUGUUUUUUCACCCAUAGAGAUUGCUAAAGUAUGAUUGUGUCAGUGAUUUGUUUUCAUCGGGAAAAUUUUCUGCUAUGAAGUUUUUUUUCCCGAUGAAAACAUUUUGCGUAUACGUAUACGUGACGUAGUGUGCGUACGAUAAACGUCAGCAAUCUCUAUUAGUUGGUAAAAAAUAUACCCAUAAUUCAACGGUGAACUGAUUCUUUAAAUGGGUAUUUUUUCACCCAUUUUAUGAUUUCAAAAUUCCCCCAUUUUUUGACAGCUGCAUACAUGGUUUUAAAAUGGGUAUUUUUACCCAUUAAUGGGUUUUCACGAAACGUAUAGUGCAGGAACCCAAAAGUAGGUAAAGCAAGUCAAAGUAAUUUUCAUUUACUUGUGUGCAGUUCGUAUGGAAUUUACCACUAGCUUUUUAACCAACACAGCAAACAAAAAUGUAAUAUCGAUCAACGUAAUUCAAGCUGAUGCAUGAAAUAAUGAUGUAAUAGCAAAUUUUGUUCGCAAAAUCGAUGUACAUCGUACACCAUAAUAUCACAAACGAAGUGACA